rnacentral:rRNA from 1 species
AGAGUUUGAUUCUGGCUCAGGACGAACGCUGGCGGCGUGCUUAACACAUGCAAGUCGAACGAUGAAGCCUAGCUUGCUAGGUGGAUUAGUGGCGAACGGGUGAGUAAUACGUGAGUAACCUACCUUUAACUCUGGGAUAAGCCCGGGAAACUGGGUCUAAUACCGGAUACGACCAAUCUCCGCAUGGGGUGUUGGUGGAAAGCGUUAUGUAGUGGUUAUAGAUGGGCUCACGGCCUAUCAGCUUGUUGGUGAGGUAACGGCUCACCAAGGCGACGACGGGUAGCCGGCCUGAGAGGGUGACCGGCCACACUGGGACUGAGACACGGCCCAGACUCCUACGGGAGGCAGCAGUGGGGAAUAUUGCACAAUGGGCGCAAGCCUGAUGCAGCGACGCCGCGUGAGGGAUGACGGCCUUCGGGUUGUAAACCUCUGUUAGCAGGGAAGAAGAGAGAUUGACGGUACCUGCAGAGAAAGCGCCGGCUAACUACGUGCCAGCAGCCGCGGUAAUACGUAGGGCGCGAGCGUUGUCCGGAAUUAUUGGGCGUAAAGAGCUUGUAGGCGGUUUGUCGCGUCUGCUGUGAAAGGCCGGGGCUUAACUCCGUGUAUUGCAGUGGGUACGGGCAGACUAGAGUGCAGUAGGGGAGACUGGAAUUCCUGGUGUAGCGGUGGAAUGCGCAGAUAUCAGGAGGAACACCGAUGGCGAAGGCAGGUCUCUGGGCUGUAACUGACGCUGAGAAGCGAAAGCAUGGGGAGCGAACAGGAUUAGAUACCCUGGUAGUCCAUGCCGUAAACGUUGGGCACUAGGUGUGGGGGACAUUCCACGUUUUCCGCGCCGUAGCUAACGCAUUAAGUGCCCCGCCU